rnacentral:lncRNA from 1 species
AAGAGAGAUAAACCCAACACAAUCUACAUUGAGACCCAUAGUGAGGUAGAAAGAGUAACAUGCAAGCCCGUCAAUCCACUGUUAAGGAGACAAGAGUUGAGUUUUAAACUAGAACAAUAACACCAGCGAAGAAGAGAAAUAGAUCUAAUAUAAAACAAUUCAAAUGGUGAACCAAUCACAAUGAAGAAUCCAUAUCUAGAUCUCCACAUCCUAUCGCAACUUCGACAAGAAGAACUAGUAUGGCAUAGUCUUGGCUUUUAGAGUAGCCAAUGAAAGAUUGGAGCAAUCCAACUGGAGCUGUCCUGAGCGUCUUUGGGAUGAUCAACUGAAAUUCGUUGGAGAAGCUGAGCACCAAGGUAACGAGCACCAAAGCAAAAUACAAAUACAAAAUCCAUAGGACCAAACGGUAGCUAAGAGAACUGAUCUCUAUACAAAAGAAGAACUGCUGUCAGAAACCAAACAAAAUAAAAAGAAAAAGAAAAAUAUAUACACCUUAACUCGAUGGUGGGAAGAGAGGAACCCACAGCUGGACAGAGAAAGGCCGAAUAUCAUCGGCAAA